CACUAUAUUUUCAAAAUAAUACCUGGUGAAUAAAUGAGACUUUAGAGAGUGGAGAAUAUUAUUUCAUAUCCGUUUUGUAGGUUAGGCUACGAGACUUCAUGAAAAAUGGUAACAUUUAACGUAUGAUCUGGAGCGUUUCCUAAGAUUAGUUUGAUUAUUUACACUCUGCUUAUCCAUUGAAGAAGGUAUUGUAACGGUUUCGGCUUAUUAAUCAAGUAUCAAAAUAAGCAUUAGCCUAAUUUUACAUGGUAUAAUAGAAAUCUGUUUAUAUUUUUGAUACCUACAAUUUUCAUUAUUUGUUGGUCUUGUUAACCUAAAGUGAAUGUAGCCUACAUUAGACAUAUUUCCAUUGACACGAGUUUAUUCGACAAAAGCAAUGUCACAAAAAAAUCAUUACAAGGUCUAAUAGAAGCGGCAGAUACAGGAGAAACCUAAAGAUCGGAAAGAUUUUUAUUCGUUCCACAGGGUGACUUUCUGUUUUGUAGAACUUUCUUUAUUGCGACAAAUGAAAACGGAAACGGUGUUUUUCGAAAAGAAUGGUCAUUGCCGAAUCAUUUUGAAGGUAGCUACGUUGGGCACUUUAUGCCACGGUGUAACUAACGUUUCACUUCACAUUUAUUUUUAAAUGCCUACUGUUUGCAAAAUAAACAUUCAACUAUACAAAUAAUGUGUAUUUGCAGGACAAGGAUUGUUCAGACUGUCAAGAAUGCCUGAAUUGCUUCGCCUUACUUUUGUGGUUGUCUGGCAAGUUUAACCAUCCAAUUGUUUCCGAUCUACAGGAGUGCACGUUUCACCAUGGCACGGACCGUGGCGAUACGUUGGCACAUUAUAAUUAUGAGAAUAUUGCAAACAUUACUGAAAUCUUGCAUUAUAUCUGUUCGGGCUUUUACGGGCUACCGUAGACAUGAAACUGCGCAAUUGGCCUAAAGGGGUAAUGGAAACACUUCAAUUGCCUCAUUAUUAUUAAAAUAUUACACUAUUUUUUUGCAAAUAUAAGGGCUCUGAAAGUGUUACAAAUGUAAUCAAUCAAGAGCGUUGAAAUCAUACCUUAAUGUCUCAUCUGUAAUGAUAUCAGAGCUGUAUAUAGCACAUCAGUCAAUCAGCCACUGAAAUAGCCGCCUAGCUAACAUUUCAAUUAUUUUCAAUCACCAUAUUUGUCACUUUCGUCCUAAAUAGGCCUGUAUGUUCACCUGCAAUUUAAUUGAUGAAUGAAUUGUCUGUCUUUUUAUUGCACCGAUAAAAGACAGCUACUGCGACACAAGAUGUUUAAAUGGAAAUGCACCGUAGCUGGCUGGCAAUUGUCGAAUAUUUUUCUAUAUGCGACUUUUCUAAAUGUCGUCAAAACAAAAUCACUGGACAAGUUCAUUGAAACUUAGCAAACGACUUUCCUUUUCCGAGUAUAGACUACUCAGUCCUUUACUUUAUUUUUUUUUACCAGAUUGUCGAGAUGUGUUCCCCUCAUCUUGUUUCCCCAUACAGGAAAUAUCAUGUGUUAAGUAAUUUAUUACAUAAUUGCAAAAUAACAAUUAUGGUGGCUUAGUCUUCGCUAAAGCAGUGCCAUUAUCAGACCUAUAUGAAUAUUAGGUUAAUGUAUGUAAUGCAUCAUUGUUUUCAUGGCACAAGAACUUUAACCAUUCGCGUUUCAAUGUGGAGAAGGCUGAUGCUGAUGGGAUGUAUCGACUUGCUAUUACAAACACGGACCCAACAGAUGAAGCCGUUUACUAUUGUGCAGUGAGAACAGCCUAUGAAGUCAACUUUAUCAAUGGGACUCUUUUACUAUUAAAAGGUAAGAAUCACCAGAGGUCACACUACCAUACCGUGGUGCAGAGGCCAGUGUCUGACCCAGUCCAUCCAGGACACUCUGUGACUCUGCAGUGUACAGUACUCUCUGAGACCUGUACAGGAGAACACAGUGUGUGCUGGUUCAGAGCCGGAUCAGGAGAAUCCCAUCCAGGAGUCAUUUACACCUCUGGGAACAAGAGUGGUGAGUGUAAGAAGAGCCCUGAAACUCCCUCUCCUACACAUAGCUGUGUCUUCAGCCUCUCCAAGAACAACCUCAGCCCCUCUGAUGCUGUGACUUACUACUGCGCUGUGGCCACAUGUGGUGAGAUCCUGGUCGGCAACGGAACAAAACUGGAUGCCAAAUGUACUUUUAUGACCACUAUUAAUGUAAAGGAUCAGAUGGGAAGAAGCCUCGUAACCUUAGAACUGAUUAACAUUGCACCAUAAUAACAAACUGAGGUCAACAAUCAAUUAAAAUGCCUACUAAGAUAUAUGGAACUUACAAUGCAGCCUUUAAAAAGAUUGGACUGUCACGCCCUGACCAUAGAGAGCCUUUUUAUUCCCUAUUUUGGUUAGGUCAGGGUGUGACUAGGGUGAGUAAUCAAGGUUGUUUUAUUUCUAU